rnacentral:rRNA from 1 species
GAUGAACGCUGGCGGCGUGCCUAAUACAUGCAAGUCGAGCGAACGGACGAGAAGCUUGCUUCUCUGAUGUUAGCGGCGGACGGGUGAGUAACACGUGGAUAACCUACCUUUAAGACUGGGAUAACUUCGGGAAACCGGAGCUAAUACCGGAUAAUAUUUUGAACCGCAUGGUUCAAAAGUGAAAGACGGUCUUGCUGUCACUUAUAGAUGGAUCCGCGCUGCAUUAGCUAGUUGGUAAGGUAACGGCUUACCAAGGCAACGAUGCAUAGCCGACCUGAGAGGGUGAUCGGCCACACUGGAACUGAGACACGGUCCAGACUCCUACGGGAGGCAGCAGUAGGGAAUCUUCCACAAUGGGCGAAAGCCUGACGGAGCAACGCCGCGUGAGUGAUGAAGGUCUUCGGAUCGUAAAACUCUGUUAUUAGGGAAGAACAUAUGUGUAAGUAACUGUGCACAUCUUGACGGUACCUAAUCAGAAAGCCACGGCUAACUACGU